UACGAAGGGGGCUAGCGUUGUUCGGAAUCACUGGGCGUAAAGCGCACGUAGGCGGAUGUGCCAGUCAGGGGUGAAAUCCCGGAGCUCAACUCCGGAACUGCCUCUGAUACAGCACGUCUUGAGUUCGAGAGAGGUGGGUGGAAUUCCUAGUGUAGAGGUGAAAUUCGUAGAUAUUAGGAAGAACACCGGUGGCGAAGGCGGCCCACUGGCUCGAUACUGACGCUGAGGUGCGAAAGCGUGGGGAGCGAACCGG
rnacentral:rRNA from 1 species